AGCGAACGCUGGCGGCAGGCCUAACACAUGCAAGUCGAACGAACCUUUCGGGGUUAGUGGCGGACGGGUGAGUAACACGUGGGAACGUGCCUUUAGGUUCGGAAUAACUCAGGGAAACUUGUGCUAAUACCGAAUGUGCCCUUCGGGGGAAAGAUUUAUCGCCUUUAGAGCGGCCCGCGUCUGAUUAGCUAGUUGGUUGAGGUAAUGGCUCACCAAGGCGACGAUCAGUAGCUGGUCUGAGAGGAUGAUCAGCCACAUUGGGACUGAGACACGGCCCAAACUCCUACGGGAGGCAGCAGUGGGGAAUCUUGCGCAAUGGGCGAAAGCCUGACGCAGCCAGGCCGCGUGAAUGAUGAAGGUCUUAGGAUUGUAAAAUUCUUUCACCGGGGACGAUAAGGACGGUACCCGGAGAAGAAGCCCCGGCGAACUUCGU
rnacentral:rRNA from 1 species